GAUACCAUGGGCAGGGCACAGCAGGCACAGUGUUGGCAGUUCCCUGUGUCACACAGGCAUUGGAGACAUGAUGGCCGUAGGGACGUAAUAAAAAGAGCUUCUCGCUGCUGCGAGCCCAGGCCAGAAAAAACAGGAUUGUGAGCAGAGUCAGAGCCAGAGGCCCAGAGGAGAACAUGCUCAGACCAUGAGUGCCUCCGGCCCUCACUGCUCACCUGGAGACGUCUUCCACUUUCUCCAAAAGCUCUCAUAAAAAGAUAAGUGAUCAGAGUAACACCAGGCUGGCUGUACUUCUGGGCAUCAGCUCAUGGCAACUGCCAUAGUUAUGUCAUGGGCAUGGCACAGUGGAACAAUGUUGGCAGUUCAUUGUGUCAAACAGGCAUUGGUGCCAUGGCCAGCCCUGGGAGGUCACAUGAAGUGCUGAACCCAUUUGCCUGCAAAGGCCAGAGGAGAGCAGGAUGGUGAGCAGAUUCAGAGGUAAGAGGGCAGAGAGAUGGCAUGGAAAAUGGGAUGGUCUGAGACCUGCCCAUGGAGGCAGAGAGAGCUGUGAUGCUAGAGACUGUGUGUCCUCUGUCUUGGACGGCCAGAGGCCCAGAGGAGAACAUGCCCAGACCAUGAGUGCCUCCUGUCCUCUGCUGCUCACCUGGAGACAUGUUCCACCUUACACAAGGACACUGAUCCAAAGAUAAGUGAUCAGACAAAACCACCAGGCUGGCUGUACUGGGCAUCAGCUGCUGGCAACUGCCUUGGUGAUGCCAUGGGCAUGGCACAGCAGGCACGAUAUUUGCAGAUCUUUGUGUCAAACACGCACUGGUGACAUGGCCAAUACAGGGAGGUCACAUGAAGUUCUGAAUCCUUGUGCCAGCACAGGCCAGAGGAAAGCUGGAUGGUGAGCAGUGUCGGUGGUAAGAGUCCAGAGACAUGGCAUGGAAGGCCAGAGGCCCAGAGGAGAACAUGCCCAGACCAUGAGUGCCUCCUGUGCUCUGCUGCUCACCUGGAGACGUCUUCCACUUUCUCCAAGAGCUCUCAUAAAAAGAUAAGUGAUCAGAGUAACACCAGGCUGGCUGUACUGAUGGCAACUGCCUUGGUCAUGCCAUGGGCAUGGCACAGCAGGCACAGGGUUGGCAGUUCCCUGUGUCUCAUAGGCACUGGUGAUCUAGCCAAUACUGGGAGGUCAAAUGAAGUGCUGAACCGCUUUGCCAGCACUGGCCAAAGUAGAGCAGGAUGGUGAGCAGAGUCAGAGAGGCCCAGAGGAGAACAUGCCCAGACCAUGAAUGCCUCCUGUCUUCUGCUGCUCUCCUGGAGAUAUGUACCACGAUUCACAUGGACAAUGAAACAAAUAUAUGUGAUCGGAGUAAUACCAGGCUUACUGUACUUCUGGGCAUCAGUUGAAGGCCACUGCCCUGGUCAUGCUAUGGGCAUGGCAGUGCAUGCAUCUUGCUGUCAAUUCCCUGUGUCUCGUAGGCAUUGGUGGUAUGGCUAACACUGGGAGAUCUUAGCUCACUUCCUUUUCAGAAACAGCCCCGGACUGUCUCAUUCUCAAUCAUGAUGUGUCUGUGGGCAGAAAGUGCUUUUCAGAGGAAAUGGCAGCGCCCAUCGAGUGGCCCCGACCCAAGUGACAUGGGAAGUACCCGAGUGUUGGUGUGGUUUUACUUGUCCCUUCAGGGGAUCAAAUUAUGUCCAGAAACAUAUGAUUUGUUUGCUUCAACAGUUUAAUUUACAGUGGCCCAUGCUCCGAAUAAAAACCAUGUGACUGCCCAGGAGGGUUUCAACUCCACACCUUUUUUUUUCUACUCUAAGCAUGAGCAUAAAAAGGGAUGAAUAUUUAAGAAGUCAUAAAUUACUGGGGCAAGAACGAUGAUGCAGAAUAUAUCAGUACUUCUGUUUAGCCAGGAUACAUCUGCUGAGAAAAAAAUAAAUUCUAUAUCUCAAUUUGCUAUUUUAGUUUCUCAAGGGCAAAAUUUGUGUUCCUCACAGAGGCACUUAUGAAAACAUCACCAUUUUUUUUUGUAUCUUACUUAAGUGCUAGGAGACUAGUGAUGUAUUAUGAAGUUGUAGACAUCCCUUGUGGAUUACACAUGUGCAUUACAAACAAGCAAUGUGACAGCUAGUUUGUGCAAUUUUAAGUUAUCUGUUUCGAACCAGGCAAUGAGAAACACAACACACCCACAUUAUGGUUUACUUUUUUUUUUCUUUUUUUUUAACUGUCAUUGCUCAGGAUUGCAAGUACAUGAAAACUUUCCAAAUAUUAGUAAAUCUCUUCUUUAAAUUCUUGAGUAUUCUUGAGAACGGUACCUGGCUGCAAUUUGAAUUCAAAUAUUCUUACAACAUAUCUUCACUUACAAAAUGUUGUGCUACAAGACAUUUAGUAGCAAGUAAUUAAAUCUUCACCACAGUGGAAACUGGAAGUGCAUGCACCUUAAAGGGUAGCCAAAAUGUAAUUUCUCUAACUUACAUGAAGAGACACUCAUACUCUCAUACGCUGUGUCAAGUACUGAUGAAAAAAAAAAAAAUAAAAGCAGGUGUUCUUUUGUUCUUCUUCAUGAAGUAUGUGAAUGCACUCCUCUUUAGAAAUCAUGAGAAAUGGUACCAAUGAGAAUAAAGUUUCCUGUAAAUUUCUGUACUUUCUAUUCUGUACAAAAUGAAAGAUUAGCAUAAUUCCUCAGUAUUCAUCUUCCUUGCCUUCAUCUUUGAUAGACUUCUGGAUCAGGAAAUACAUGGUGAGAAAGAAGGAAUU